rnacentral:misc_RNA from 1 species
UACAUAUUCAUGCAUAUGAAUUCCACUCCUUAAUAUUUAGUAGUUGUCAAAGGUGCACCCAAGGCACCCUUGAGGCGAAGGCGCACGAGGCUCAAGGGAGAGUGGCCCAGGCAAGCAAAGCCCGGCGACCUCACCUAGGUGCAGUGAGGCACCAGGUGCACCUAGGUGAGGCCAGGCGAGGUGCAGCCUUUGUUGAGCGACAAGUGACUUAAAAGGAA